AGUGAACGCUGGCGGUAGGCCUAACACAUGCAAGUCGAACGGCAGCACAGUAAGAGCUUGCUCUUACGGGUGGCGAGUGGCGGACGGGUGAGGAAUACAUCGGAAUCUACUUUUUCGUGGGGGAUAACGUAGGGAAACUUACGCUAAUACCGCAUACGACCUACGGGUGAAAGCAGGGGAUCUUCGGACCUUGCGCGAUUGAAUGAGCCGAUGUCGGAUUAGCUAGUUGGCGGGGUAAAGGCCCACCAAGGCGACGAUCCGUAGCUGGUCUGAGAGGAUGGUCAGCCAGACUGGGACUGAGACACGGUCCAGACUCCUACGGGAGGCAGCAGUGGGGAAUAUGGGACAAUGGGCGCAAGCCUGAGCCAGCCAUACCGCGUGAGUGAAGAAGGCCUUCGGGUUGUAAAGCCCUUUUGUUGGGAAAGAAAAGCAGCAGGUUAAUAACCCGCUGUUCUGACGGUACCCAAAGAAUAAGCACCGGCUAACUUCGUG
rnacentral:rRNA from 1 species